CUCGUAGGCGGCCAACUAAGUCAGACGUGAAAUCCCUCGGCUUAACCGGGGAACUGCGUCUGAUACUGGAUGGCUUGAGUUUGGGAGAGGGAUGCGGAAUUCCAGGUGUAGCGGUGAAAUGCGUAGAUAUCUGGGGGAACGACCGGUGGCGAAGGCGGCAUCCUGGACCAACACUGACGCUGAGUGAGCGAAAGCCAGGGAGCAAACG
rnacentral:rRNA from 1 species